GGUCUUGUAUUCAUUUUGUGAUUAUAGAAUGCAAUUCUGUAGGGGUAAUUCAGACUUACCAAGGCCU
rnacentral:tRNA from 1 species